UAGCACCAUUUGAAAUCGGUU
rnacentral:ncRNA from 13 species